rnacentral:rRNA from 1 species
CCUACGGGUGGCAGCAGUGGGGAAUAUUGGACAAUGGGCGGAAGCCUGAUCCAGCAACGCCGCGUGAGGGAUGACGGCCUUCGGGUUGUAAACCUCUUUCAGUAUCGACGCGGUAGGUACAGAAGAAGCACCGGCCAACUACGUGCCAGCAGCCGCGGUAAUACGUAGGGUGCGAGCGUUGUCCGGAAUUAUUGGGCGUAAAGGGCUCGUAGGCGGUUUGUCGCGUCGGGAGUGAAAACACUGGGCUUAACCGAGUGCUUGCUUUCGAUACGGGCAGACUAGAGGCAUUCAGGGGAGAACGGAAUUCCUAGUGUAGCGGUGAAAUGCGCAGAUAUUAGGAGGAACACCGGUGGCGAAGGCGGUUCUCUGGGAUGCCUGACGCUGAGGAGCGAAAGUGUGGGGAGCGAACAGGAUUAGAUACCCUUGUAGUC